UUGACCUCAAAUCGAGUAGGACCACCCGCUGAACUUAAGCAUAUCAAUAAGCGGAGGAAAAGAAACUAACAAGGAUUCCCCUAGUAACGGCGAGUGAAGAGGGAAGAGCUCAAAUUUUGAAUCUGGCGUCUCUGGCGUCCGAAUUGUAAUCUAGAGAAGUGUUUUCCGUGGCGGACCGUGCAUAAGUCUCCUGGAAUGGAGCGUCAUAGAGGGUGAGAAUCCCGUAUAUGGCAUGGACUCCCGUUGCUCUGCGAUACACUCUCGACGAGUCGAGUUGUUUGGGAAUGCAGCUCCAAAUGGGUGGUAAAUGCCAUCUAAAGCUAAAUAUCGGCGAGAGACCGAUAGCGAACAAGUACCGUGAGGGAAAGAUGAAAAGCACUUKGGAAAGAGAGUGAAACAGUACGUGAAUUGUGAAGGGAACGU
rnacentral:rRNA from 1 species